GUUUGAUCCUGGCUCAGAUUGAACGCUGGCGGCAGGCCUGACACAUGCAAGUCGAGCGGUAGAGAGAAGCUUGCUUCUCUUGAGAGCGGCGGACGGGUGAGUAAUGCCUAGGAAUCUGCCUGGUAGUGGGGGAUAACGUUCGGAAACGGACGCUAAUACCGCAUACGUCCUACGGGAGAAAGCAGGGGACCUUCGGGCCUUGCGCUAUCAGAUGAGCCUAGGUCGGAUUAGCUAGUUGGUGAGGUAAUGGCUCACCAAGGCGACGAUCCGUAACUGGUCUGAGAGGAUGAUCAGUCACACUGGAACUGAGACACGGUCCAGACUCCUACGGGAGGCAGCAGUGGGGAAUAUUGGACAAUGGGCGAAAGCCUGAUCCAGCCAUGCCGCGUGUGUGAAGAAGGUCUUCGGAUUGUAAAGCACUUUAAGUUGGGAGGAAGGGUUGUAGAUUAAUACUCUGCAAUUUUGACGUUACCGACAGAAUAAGCACCGGCUAACUCUGUGCCAGCAGCCGCGGUAAUACAGAGGGUGCAAGCGUUAAUCGGAAUUACUGGGCGUAAAGCGCGCGUAGGUGGUUUGUUAAGUUGGAUGUGACCUCCCCGGGCUCAACCUGGGAACUGCAUUCAAAACUGACUGACUAGAGUAUGGUAGAGGGUGGUGAAAUUUCCUGUGUAGCGGCGCCCCGCAAAAAUCUAGGGGUCCCCACCGGUGGUGAAAUCUCUCACGGGUGUAAUACUAGAGGGUGAUGUGCUGUGUGUGCUCACAAACUGUACACAUACGCUGGAAUACACGCCGAGGAGCCAUCUCCCCGCUGUCGCUACUUCGUACUUCUACUGCUGCGCCUCGCUACAGUAGUACAUCCCACCGCCUGCUACCUACGCUAGCUAGAUCUAAUAUCAGAGUGCACUUGCUCGGCGCCGCAGUGCAUUCGCACUAUAAUACAUACACGCCACGUGCGAUACCGACCUGGACUAGAAAUCAGUCUCCUCUAAAGUAAGCUGCGCUGAGGAACAUGAACCGUGACUGUCGCUCAACGUAUAGUCAGAAUUGCUAACUCCGCUACACAGAAUGACUGCUAAAUACGAACUGUCCGG
rnacentral:rRNA from 1 species